AAAUUAUACUUAUAUUAUUUGUCUAGCAAAUCCAUUUUAAAUAAGAAAGAAAACAUGGUUAGUUCAAGGGUAGACUAAUAAAAUGAAUCGAACAGACUAUCACAGUAUUCAAAAAAUUAACUCAAACAUAAAUUUUUAGACCUCUUUCCUACUAUCCUUCUUAUAAUUUCCCCCAAAUAUUCAUUUCCCUCAAAUAUUCUACUUUCUCUAAACAACAAAUAUCUUCUUUAAUUUGAUUUUCAUUGCUAUAUAAGGAUAUAAAAUGAUCAGUGAUAUGCUUUUGAUAGAUGUAUGCACUGUAUAAUAUUUACAUCAGGGUAAAUAUGUCUUUCUCAACCAGUCUUCAUUUUAUAAAAUAAAAGACAACAUUCAAAGCCCUUUCUCUUUUGUCCUAGUAUCAUACAGAUCAUUGCCAUUGACUGCAGCUCUGCUACUCUGCACAUGGAGACUUGUUUCUCCCUUUCAACUGUUGACUUAGUGUAGUUACAGCCAAGUUUUUAGGAUCCAUUCUGCCAUUUCCUUCCCAAUAGAAAUGCAUGGUUAUGGAACCUCUUUGUCAUUAAGUAAAGAUUAUUUAAGAGUGGAUCAGAGAUUUAAAUACAUAUAGAAGAAUGUGUAUCAAUGCUGUAUAGUUGGUUUUUUAUGUGUAUUAUUUUAUCAUAUUUUCUCACUCUUGCCACUGAGAGCCUGAACUCCAGUGAUUUGGUGACACAGCUUCUAUCACGCCUGUCUGUGUUGUUCCAAGGUCUCAUAUAUUUUUAGAUACACAAGAAUAAUUUGGAGAAAGAUAUAGGUUGCCUUUCUUACUGAACACGACACCUAGAUCUAAGGAGAAAGAUGUGGCACUAUAUCUUGUGCUCCAUGUCAAUAUGUGUCCAUAUUAUUUAUAUAAUACUCUACCUGGAGUACCUUGACUUCUUGGGCUCCAUCUGCUUCCUAACAUCUAAAACCAGGUAUCAGAGAACAGGGACUAAUGUCCUUCCACAUCUCACUGGUCCUAAAGAAUGAGUUAUUAGGAAGUGUGAUGAGAGCCUUGACAGCCAUUCUGUGCUAUGGUUGCUAACAGCAAGGAAAGCUUAGAAAAAAAUCUAGAAGACCGAGUUCCAUUAAAAUAGCACCGUCUACCAUACAACAUUGUAAUGACUCACGCAAAUCUUUGUUUGUUUAGUACUAUUAAAAAGUAUUAUCAUGUUGUGUGUUUAUGCAUACUUAAACACUACUAGUUUUUAAAGAUUAUUAACAGAUUUAAAGGGGCUAGUCUGUACUCUGAGAAACAUGCUCCCAAUUAGUAUCUCCAUUUUUAAUGACUUAAACAAGACAGGUUGUGUAACUCAUGUCUUGCUGGAAAUCCUGAGUACCCAGUGACUUAAGUGAUAAGCAAUAUUGAUUGGCCAAUAGUGCUGUCACUAUGUGGCUUCUAAUGUCUGUUUUUGGUUUUUUGGUUUUUUGGUUUUGUUUGUUUUGUUUUCCUUUACUCUGCAGUGAGUUUUCAAUAUGCAUGUCGCUCCCAACUGUCCAAGUAUUCUGUGCAUCUGAAAGUCACUGAACAGCCAUUGCUCAGUGGCAUCUUUCACAUUGAUGAUCAAUUGUGGCAGAGUGCUUUUACUAUUGCUGAUAGCCCUCUGCAUAAAGUGCCUUCUUUGUUCCCAUCUUUUUAUCCUCCAUACUUCUGUCUCAGUACCACUGACCUUUCAGUUUGCAUGCUUUGCCAACCUCAAGAGAAAAGCCAAUCUGUCUUUCCUUUUACCUGGCCUGGCAUUUGUGUCUCAUUCCCAACCUGACCCACUCUCAUGUCUUUUGUAUUCUUUUAUGCCUCUUUUAGAAUACACAGACAGACAGACAGACACACACAUGCGCGCACGCGCGCGCGCGCGCGUGUUUGUGUGUGUGUGUGUAUGAAACACAGAAAGAAAUAUAAGAUGUGGAAUGUGAGAUUUAUCCAGAGAUUUCUAAUGAAAAGUGCUGACAUACACACACACACACACACACACACACACACACACACACUUGGAGAAAAUCUAUUCACAAAAUGAUGAGCUUUUUUAUACUGCUCCCUGCUCCUUGGGAAAGACAAAAAUGCAACAGGAAUAGAGGAGGACAGGUGAUCCCCAUGCAAGCAGGGAUAGGAUAGGUAGCCUCAUGCUUUUGGCUAUCUCUCUGGCUAAUACAGAGAAGUCAGUCCAUCUUCUCUCUGUUCAGAGAUAAACAGAAGCAUGCACUCAGCUGCAUUAACCCAAAGUGUGAGAAUUCUAUCCUAUGUUUCCCCUUAAGUAAAAUUUAUUGCUAUAUUUGAGCAGAAGUUUAAAAACCAAAGGAUCCUUAAGGGCCAUUAAAGGACAAGACUUCUCUCAUGCUUAGGUUAGAGUG
rnacentral:lncRNA from 1 species